AAGAAUAACAUUAGAUCAACAGUAAAGGCAUUUCGAAGAUUAUUUACAAAUUUAAUUUUUGAUCACUGUUCUGUUUUCUGUUCUGGCUGGGCAUUUGAUGUCAGACUUGCUUUCAAAGAUUACUCUACAUGCUAGCUAAAUCGUCAUUCCAUUUUCAAGAUCCGACUAGAGCGGAGCUUCUCGAUUAGUUUAAAAACCAAAAUUUCCUUGAAAAUGAACACUCUGGCUCCCGUAUUCUACAACGCGGAGUCCGUGCGACGCGUCCUCAACUGGCCAAUGGUGAACGAGGCUGUCGAGGCUGCUCUCAAAGCAGUCGUCAAGCCGAAGGCCCCUGUCGGAGAUGAGCCAAUGGAUGCGAUCGGCAGCGAGCCGCAGUCGAAUGAGAGCCGCGACAGGUCCUACGUAAGUCAGCCAGCGCGCAACGUCACCGUGGCCAGCAAUGAUCCCAGCAAGCUGCUGCUGACCAUGCCAGCCUUUGUGGGCAACUAUCAGCUGACUGGCGACGGCGCUGGCGGGGAUGCAUCCAACGUUGCCCGCUCGACGCUGGCCUGCAAGGUGGUCACAUCGUUCCGAUCGAACCGGCUGCUGCAGCCGCCGCUGCCGAGCAUCAACGCCAACAUUCUGCUCUUCAAUGCGCACACAGGCGAGCUGGAGGCUCUGAUGGCCGGCACAGACAUCACCACUUGGCGCACCGUGUCCGCCUCGCUGGUGGCCACCAAAUACCUGUACUUCCGUCGCUUCGGGCCCCGCGCUGAGCAACAGCUGGGCAUCAACGUGGCCGUCGUCGGCUGCGGCGCCCAGGGCCAGCUGCACGCCGCCGCCAUGUGCGCCAACUUCAGGGUGGACAAGCUAACCCUCUACAACCGCACCCAAAUCCGGGCCGUGCAGCUGGCCAACGAGCUGCGCCAGCGCAUGGCCCACGACAGCGACAGCUGCUACGGCCCAAAGUUGCCCGACAUCAAGGUCUGCGGCUCAGCCGGCGAGGCCGUCGCCGAAGCCGACGUCAUCUGCAUCGCCACCUACGCCAAGGAGCCGCUGAUCCGUGCCAGCGAUCUGCGCAAGAAACGCUCCGUCCACAUCAACGCUGUGGGCGCUGGCGAGGUGCACUUUGGCGAGGUGUCCGACGAUAUCUAUCAGGAAUCUCUGGUCUAUGUGGACUGCAUGGAGAAUGCCAGGCACGAGCUGGUCGGUCUGCCAGCGCCCAUAGCCGGCGAGGUGGGCGACGUUAUAAUCAAUGGCAACUAUCCGGAUGAGCAGGCUCUAACCAUAUUCCAAUCGAUGGGCAUGGCCUCCGAGGAUGCCUGUGUGGCCGAGGCUGUGCAGACGGCGCUGUUGUCCUGCGACAAGUAAGUGGAAGGAAGGAAGAAAGGAAGGAGAGAGAAUUCGCAGUGAAAGGCGUUAAAGGAUGUGACAGCAUCUGCUCAACCGCUUGCCCCGCCCUCUGCCCACUUCGAGGGGGAGGGCCCCUCGCACAUUUUGCACACAUCAUCAUCAUCAUCAUCAUGAUCAUGCGAUUUCCAUUUAUAUAUAUAAUUCAAGUAUUUGUUUUUGUUUUCGUUAUCUUGUUAUCAUAGAUGCUGUUCGCCCGUAGAAACGUGGCCUAGAACCCAGUGGGAAGUGUUUAUCAUGUUUUAUUUUUUUUUUUCUCUUUUGUUGGUUUUUUUUUUUAAAUUGGCUUUUGGGUCCCAGUCUAAGCCCUUUUUGCAAGCCGCAUGCUCUUUGUUUCCCACUUUGCUUGAAAUAAUUUUUUAGCAUAA
rnacentral:misc_RNA from 1 species